UACGUAGGGGGCAAGCGUUGUCCGGAAUUAUUGGGCGUAAAGAGCGUGUAGGCGGUCCGGUAAGUCAGCUGUGAAAGUCAAGGCUCGAACCCUUGAAUGCCGGUUGAUACUGUCGGGCUAGAGUCCGGAAGAGGCGAGUGGAAUUCCCGGUGUAGCGGUGAAAUGCGCAGAUAUCGGGAGGAACACCAAUGGCGAAGGCAGCUCGCUGGGACGGUACUGACGCUGAGACGCGAAAGCG
rnacentral:rRNA from 1 species